UUUCUGAAAGAAUCAAAGUAAUGCCAAGAACUUCCAGAUGAAGAGGACCUUCUUAGACCUAUAACUGGGAUUAGCCAAUUCUUGAACUGCAGGAGGGAGCUUCAACUAAUUCUCAGGAUAAAAGUCAAAACAAGCCUGUGACUUCUCUUGAAUACUGAAGGUGUAAACAGGCCUCUGGCUUCCCCAGGUCAAGCCCAGGAGCACUUGUUAUUAGAAGGAAGAGUUACUUCUUUGUUAUUCAAACGUACACCCACGCGCAUCCUCUUCACCCUCCCUAAGGAAAAGCCUGAACAGAUGGAGAGCCAGGGCUCCUUGGCCUGCUGGCUGAGAAGAUGCCCUUCACUGAGGCCAGCUAGCUGUGCAGACUGGGGAAGAAUGGAGAAGUGGCUAGUAUAGGUAAUCAGUAUCUUUUAAUACUUCUUACAGAUAGAAAUUUGAUAACUCUUGUUCAGCAAAUAGCAGCCUGUGGGGCCUGGGAAACCAAUUUGGCUGAUGUGUUUCUGAUAGGGACUGGGCUUGAGGCUGGGUACUUGCUCUGUAUUACCUUCCCCUCUCUCACGUAAAAGCCUGUACAAAGAAAUGGUGCAAAUGGAUGGUUCACUUAAUGAUUCCAUUGGAGGUAGAUAUUUCCCUGUCAGGUUCUGGCAUGGGGCUGAAGUUUGAAAACCAGAAGGCAGAAUAUGUAGUUAAUUGCCCUCUCUUACCUCCUUACCAGUAGCAGGACUACUCUUCGAGGCCUCUUCCUCCAUAGCUUCUGCAACCUCUGGUUAGCUCCAUCCAAGCACUCCACUUUGGGCUGGGUGCUGAGUGUUUCCUGGUUGUAAGGAAAAGCUCUCCUUCUGCUUCAUUCAUUCCUCACCCCAACUCCUGCUGUGCAGCAGGCCAUUCCACCCUGCCUCAAUUCAUAUCGGCUGUACAGAACCACCAGGAAUGCCAGGUGAAUGGCCAUCCCUGAUCUAUGGGCCCAGGCUUACAGCUGUGACCUUGUUCUUGAGAUCUCAGGAGACUGCAUAACACCCACGCACAUCCCAAAGGAGGCAACCAAGGUAGAUCUCCAAAGACCAAAGCCCCAGCGAGCAAGGGAGGGCCGGCCACUUCCCACCUCCAGCCGCCCUCUGUGUUGCCUGCUAAGGCCUCCUCCAGGGCCGCCUCUGCUGCAGAACCCGCGGGGAAGCAGCGCACACAAUGGCGUGCCUGCCUUGGGGCUUCUGGCUGCUCUGGGCACCCUCAGCGCAGUGUGGGGUAGGGAGGCCUCAAGCAAGUUUGAGGCCUUGGUGGGCCCUCCUUUGCCCCCAGAGCACUCGUCUUGGACAGAAGCAGGAACUAGGGAGGAGGUUUGCCUCCCGUGCCGACUUCUCCUGCAGGUAUGGCUGCAGGGCCUCCCCGAGAAGAGAGGCCAAGGCCCAGGGCGCCAUUGGCGGCCGGCUCCCCUCCCCCACGCUUCUUUCUCUGCUGCUGCGAGACCGGGGAGGGAGGAGGCAGGCGCCUGUGCAGAUAGAGCCGCUAUUGUGACCUUCCCUCGCAGAGCAGGAACCCAGCCGAGUGUGUACCGCCGGCGGUGGCUGUGGCGGGGGAGGAGGCGACUGUGUGCAAACCUUGGCGGGGAGGGGUUGGCACUGGGAAAUAAAGGUUUGCAACCUCGG